rnacentral:lncRNA from 1 species
ACUUCUGAAAGAUUCCAUCUGUAAAUACCAUCGCGCUGGGGGUUAGGGCUUCAACAUAUGAAUAUUGCGGGGACACAGACAUUCAAUCCAUAAUAGCAAGUUUCAGUGGAUUUCAGAAGCCCCUAAGGCAGAAAAGCAAAAGCACCUUAUUUUUUGUCCACUUGACCUGUGUCUUAUGUUGGACUGAAAUGUAGGUCUCCUAAUUUUAGUGUAGUUUUGUAUAUUUCUCCCUAUAUAUCUUUAACUUUCUGAUAUAUAAAGGUAGCUGAAAUACAACAUCAUAAUUUUUACUGGAAAAUAGCCACAAUGAAGGAACACCACAAUUUCACCAUGAAAACCAGCACAACCUUACACAGAUGACAAACAUUUCCCCUCAAAACUUGUUAAACUGUAUUUGGGCUGACCAAAUUAACCAGAGUUAUUCUAUUUAUGGGGGAGCAGGAAGUAACUUGAUAAAAUGCUUUGAGUUUAUAUAUCAUGUCAAAUAAAUAGCAUAAUUUUAAAGGAAAAAAACUUGUUAGGCAAUG